CCCCUUUUCUCGGGCGCGUUAUGCGCCUAUAUGAGCCUUGCCGGGUGCAAAUCCGGCUAUGGCGAUAAACGGUCGAUGGAAUAAGCCUAUUGGACCCGGGGGCGGUACCCGGCGCCUCCACCAAAAACUGGCCUCCGCUUUGGGUGGCCCGCUUUUGAUGGGGGCGAAAUAGGAUCGACAAGGGUGUAAAGAUCGAACUUUUGCUCGGCAUGAUACCGCCGUUAUCGGGUCACAAGUGUAGUUGCAAAUGACAACAACGCUAAGGAAUACGCUCUCGCUGCCUAAUGGCGGUGUGGGAAUUCCGACUUAAGCCCUUACGGUUAGCCCCGUAAGGCGGGGUUCGGAGGUACCUGGCAACAGAAACCUCCACC
rnacentral:tmRNA from 2 species